rnacentral:piRNA from 1 species
AGGAUAUGGAAAAUUUCAGACUGCUAGAA